AUGAUUUCAAAUGAGAGUAUGUCAGAAUUGAAGAUGGUGAAGAUAUUGUUGUUGAAAUCGAUAGGCAAGAGGGCUGGGCAAGCCUCAGGGCUGAAUUUUUUGCUGAGCUCGUUGAUCUGAAUAUUGACUCGAAGGUAGGUUAUGUGCCGUCACACUUGGCUAUGCAGAAGGCAGAUGAUGAUUGGGCUUCGCAGAGGCAUAUCGUUCCCAUUAUGACGGAUCUAACAGUAAUAGCCGAUGGAGCUAAUGCACAUGCAGAAGAGGGAAAUGUUAAUGUUGUUGAUUGGAAUGCAGUUGAGUUGGAGGAGCCUACUGAUUUGGUCAUUGCACCAAUUGCUGAUACUGAGAUGGCCAAACUAUU
rnacentral:lncRNA from 1 species